GCAUUGGUAGCUCAGUGGUAGAAUUUUUGCCUUCCAUUCAGGAGAUCCAGGUUUAAUUCCCUGCCAACGCA
rnacentral:tRNA from 1 species